rnacentral:rRNA from 1 species
AGUGAACGCUGGCGGUAGGCCUAACACGUGCAAGUCGAACGGCAGCACAGUAAGAGCUUGCUCUUACGGGUGGCGAGUGGCGGACGGGUGAGGAAUACAUCGGAAUCUACUUUUUCGUGGGGGAUAACGUAGGGAAACUUACGCUAAUACCGCAUAAGAACUACGGGUGAAAGAAGGGGAUCUUCGGACCUUGCGCGAAUGAAUGAGCCGAUGUCGGAUUAGGUAGUUGGCGGGGUAAAGGCCCACCAAGGCGACGAUCCGUAGCUGGUCUGAGAGGAUGAUCAGCCACACUGGAACUGAGACACGGUCCAGACUCCUACGGGAGGCAGCAGUGGGGAAUAUUGGACAAUGGGCGCAAGCCUGAUCCAGCCAUACCGCGUGGGUGAAGAAGGCCUUCGGGUUGUAAAGCCCUUUUGUUGGGAAAGAAAAGCAGCAGGUUAAUACCCCGCUGUUCUGACGGUACCCAAAGAAUAAGCACCGGCUAACUUCGUG